GGGGUUGGUUUCUGAGAUAUGCACUUAUUUAACCAAGCGCUUCUCGCCAAACAGGGCUGGAGGCUAAUUCAAAACCCGGAUAGCCUAUAUGCAAGAGUGCUCAAAUCCAAAUACUACCCAAAUGGAAAUCUGUUGGACACAGUGUUUGCGAAAGACGCGUCCCUUGUUUGGAAGGCCAUUGAGUUUGCCUUGAACUCUUGA
rnacentral:rRNA from 1 species